AGUUGUGAUCAUUACACAUGGUUAUGCUCAAUAUCCUUCAAGUUGGCUUCAGCAGUAUGUGAAUCAAGAAUUCCAGAUGUACAAGCUGGGUUUCGAAGAGGCAGAGGAACCAGAGAUCAAAUUGCCAACAUUAACUGGAUCAUGGAGAAAGCAAAGGAGUUC